rnacentral:misc_RNA from 1 species
AAGUCGUAACAAGGUUUCCGUAGGUGAACCUGCGGAAGGAUCAUUAACAACACCCCUUAUAACCAUUAUAACCAUCAAUACUAAACCCCCCCUAGGGAUUAAAGAGGAAUAUGGAUAGAUUAGACACAGAGGAAGAAUUAGAUAAUCACACCCCCUCUCUUUCUCUCUCUUUGUGUGUGUUCUCUCUGUGUUUCUCUCUUUUCCUUUUCACCCCCAUUUUUUUUCUUUUAUUUUAAACUCAUCUCGUUAAAUCGAUUACUUUGUGUGUGCUUUUUGUUAAGCUAGCUGCUUUUGUGUAUGAAUACACUCAUACCCAAAGCUCUCACUCCUCCUGCCUAACAAAAAAACCACCAAACCAAAACAAAAACAUUAAAACAAAACAAAAUAUAAUAUAAGAUACAACUCUUAACAAUGGAUGUCUUGGCUCUCGC